rnacentral:lncRNA from 1 species
CUUUUCCUUUCUUUUCUUUUCUUGGCCACAUCUGGGGCAUAUGGAAGUUCCCUGGCUAGAGGUUGAAUCAGAGCUAGUGGAAACUACCAUAUUCUACAGGUGCGGCCCUAAAAAAGACCAAAAUAAUAAUAAUAAUAAUAAUAAAAUAAAUAAAUAAAUGGAGAAAUAGAUAAAUCCAGAAUUGCAUCUUCAGACUUCAAUAUUUAAUCACUCAGCAAUUAACAGAGGAAGACAGAAAAUCCCUAAGGAUAUAGAAGACCUAAAAAAAAAAAAUCAACAAACUCUACCUAAUGACAAGUAUGGAACACUGCAUCCCUUAAUAGUAGAAUACACGAUGUUUUCAAAUAUACAUGAAAUAUUCACAAAGAUCACAAUCUGGGCCAUAAAACAAAUUGUAACACAUUUAAAAUUAUUUAAAUGAUAACAAACUAUGUUUUCUAACCAUAAAGGAAUUAAGCUAGAAAUCAAUAACAAGAAGAAAUUUGGAAAAUGUCCAAAUAUUUGGAAAUAAAGCCACACACUCCUAGACAACCCAUGGGUCAAAGUGGAAAUCCCAGUGGAAAUUAGAAAAUAUUUUGAACUGAAUAAAAAUGAACACAGAGCAUAUCAAAAUUCAUGAGUUGUAGCUAAAGCAGGACUUACAGAGAAAUUUACAGCAUUAAAGACAUUUAUUAGAGAAGGUGAGUGGCUUGGUGGUGGUAAGGUUAGAACAAAAUUCCUGAGGAUUUUUAUGAUAUGAUAAUGCUUAUAAUUUCAGGAUUAAAAUAUAUCUUAUUGAUUUUUUUUAUUUGCUUUUUUUAAGGGCCGCACCCACGGCAUAUGAAAGUUCCCAGGCUAGGGGUCAAAUCGGAGCUCUAGCCGGGCUACACCACAGCCACAGCAAUGCCAGAUCUGAGCCACGUCUGUGACCUACACCAGAGCUCACGGCAAUGCCAGAUCCUUAACCCACUGAGCAAGACCAGGGAUCAAACCCACGUCCCCAUGGAUACUUGUCAGGUUCAUUACCCUGAGCCACAACAGGAACUCCCUCUUUUAUUUUUGAAAUUACUCUUUUUGGUAAACUAUCAGUUAUUUACCCAAAAUGUCAUCUAAUCUCUUUUUUCUUCCUGUGUACAUGCUAGCCAGAUACCUUUCUCGACACUCUGCAGUUGUGUGAUCAAAUAAAGUUUUGCCAGUGAU